AGUGAACGCUGGCGGUAGGCCUAACACAUGCAAGUCGAACGGCAGCACAGUAAGAGCUUGCUCUUACGGGUGGCGAGUGGCGGACGGGUGAGGAAUACAUCGGAAUCUACUUUUUCGUGGGGGAUAACGUAGGGGAACUUACGCUAAUACCGCAUAAGACCUACGGGUGAAAGCAGGGGAUCUUCGGACCUUGCGCGAUUGAAUGAGCCGAUGUCGGAUUAGCUAGUUGGCGGGGUAAAGGCCCACCAAGGCGACGAUCCGUAGCUGGUCUGAGAGGAUGAUCAGCCACACUGGAACUGAGACACGGUCCAGACUCCUACGGGAGGCAGCAGUGGGGAAUAUUGGACAAUGGGCGAAAGCCUGAUCCAGCCAUACCGCGUGGGUGAAGAAGGCCUUCGGGUUGUAAAGCCCUUUUGUUGGGAAAGAAAAGCAGCAGGUUAAUACCCCGCUGUUCUGACGGUACCCAAAGAAUAAGCACCGGCUAACUUCGUG
rnacentral:rRNA from 1 species